rnacentral:tRNA from 1 species
CAGGAAGUAGUUUAAUUAGAAUAUCAGCUUUGGGUGUUGAUGGUGGGGUAUAUAGCCUUCUUCUUGA